UACGUAGGGUGCGAGCGUUGUCCGGAAUUAUUGGGCGUAAAGAGCUCGUAGGCGGUUCGUUGCGUCUGCCGUGAAAACCCGGGGCUUAACUCCGGGCCUGCGGUGGAUACGGGCGGACUGGAGUACUGCAGGGGAGACUGGAAUUCCUGGUGUAGCGGUGGAAUGCGCAGAUAUCAGGAGGAACACCGGUGGCGAAGGCGGGUCUCUGGGCAGGUACUGACGCUGAGGAGCGAAAGCGUGGGGAGCGAACAGGAUUAGAUACCCUGGUAGUCCACGCCGUAAACGUUGGGCGCUAGGUGUGGGACACAUUCCACGUGUUCUGUGCCGUAGCUAACGCAUUAAGCGCCCCGCCUGGGGAGUACGGCCGCAAGGCUAAA
rnacentral:rRNA from 1 species